GAUGAAGAACGCAGCGAAAUGCGAUAAGUAAUGUGAAUUGCAGAAUUCAGUGAAUCAUCGAAUCUUUGAACGCACAUUGCGCCGGCUAGUAGUCUGGCGGGCAUGCCUGUCCGAGCGUCAUUUCAACCCUCAAGCCCCCGGGCUUGGUGUUGGGGAUCGGCGAGCCUCCGCGCCCGCCGUCCCCUAAAUCUAGUGGCGGUCUCGCUGUAGCUUCCUCUGCGUAGUAGCACACCUCGCACUGGGAAACAGCGCGGCCACGCCGUUAAACCCCCAACUUCUGAACGUUUGACCUCGGAUCAGGUAGGAAUACCCGCUGAACUUAAGCAUAUCAAUAAGCGGAGGA
rnacentral:misc_RNA from 1 species